rnacentral:rRNA from 1 species
CCUACGGGAGGCAGCAGUGGGGAAUUUUGGACAAUGGGCGCAAGCCUGAUCCAGCAAUGCCGCGUGCAGGAUGAAGGCCUUCGGGUUGUAAACUGCUUUUGUACGGAACGAAAAAGUCUGCCCUAAUACGGUGGGCCCAUGACGGUACCGUAAGAAUAAGCACCGGCUAACUACGUGCCAGCAGCCGCGGUAAUACGUAGGGUGCGAGCGUUAAUCGGAAUUACUGGGCGUAAAGCGUGCGCAGGCGGUUAUAUAAGACAGAUGUGAAAUCCCCGGGCUCAACCUGGGACCUGCAUUUGUGACUGUAUAGCUAGAGUACGGUAGAGGGGGAUGGAAUUCCGCGUGUAGCAGUGAAAUGCGUAGAUAUGCGGAGGAACACCGAUGGCGAAGGCAAUCCCCUGGACCUGUACUGACGCUCAUGCACGAAAGCGUGGGGAGCAAACAGGAUUAGAUACCCUGGUAGUCCACGCCCUAAACGAUGUCAACUGGUUGUUGGGUCUUCACUGACUCAGUAACGAAGCUAACGCGUGAAGUUGACCGCCUGGGGAGUACGGCCGCAAGGUUGAAACUCAAAGGAUUGACGG